UAGGGGUUUUUAAUUCUUGUAUUGAGAAUUUAGAUCUCUUAAGGGAUGAUUGUAAGUGCUGAAUGACUAUUAUUAUAUAAAGAAAUCAUCGCUCCCUAUUCCAUUCAUUAAGAGUUGAGAUUUUUUUUUUUUUGAAUGACAUCGCUUCUGAAUUGCUCCUCGAUAAUUUUAGAUCUAAAUUCCCAUGAUUGUAAGUGCCGAAUGACUAUUAUUAUUUAAUGAAAUCACCGCUCCAUUCAAAAAAAAAAAAUCUCAACUCAUUCGUGAAUCCCUAACAUCAAAUUUCCCCAAUUAUACUCUCAAUCUCUAUACCUCUCUCAAUAUCAAUCUCGAAUUUCGGCUUGAAGAACCCUAAACUUUAAAUCCAUUACCCUUUUGCUGAAUUUUCCCUUUUUAUUUGCUUAAUCCUUCAAUUUUAUUUGUGAAUUUCAUUCGAUCUUGUCAACCAAUACAAUUUGCUGAAUUGAAUUUCUCAUCCUAGUUGUAAGCAUCACUUAAAGACUUCCAGUCAAUACGAAAGAAAUUGAGGAAAAAAGGUUAAUUAGGGUGUUGAAGCUUCUCCCAGGUUAUCUAACAAUGACACUUAUCCUAGAGAUUAGCUAUUACACUAGUAAGAUCUUCAAUUGGAGGUUAUGCUUUAGCAACUUGAAAGUUGGAACAUGAAGGCAAUUUCAAAGCACAUUAUUUUGUCUUACAAAAUAUAAUUGAAUCUAUAUUUGCAUAGAUUUUGUUUUAGGCAUAAAUUUCAUUCUAGUUAUUGAACGAAUUUUUUAUGUAUAAGUUAGAUGAUUGUGUUGUUUGAAUGAUUUUAGGUACUUUAAUAAUUUCCAAUGUUUCUUGCUCAAUGACAUUUGU